rnacentral:rRNA from 1 species
AGGAUGAACGCUGGCGGCGUGCUUAACACAUGCAAGUCGAACGAUGAUGCCAGCUUGCUGGUGGAUUAGUGGCGAACGGGUGAGUAACACGUGAGUAACCUGCCCUUAACUCUGGGAUAAGCCUGGGAAACUGGGUCUAAUACCGGAUAUGACUCCUCAUCGCAUGGUGGGGGUGAAAGCUUUUUGUGGUUUUGGAUGGACUCGCGGCCUAUCAGCUUGUUGGUGAGGUAAUGGCUCACCAAGGCGACGACGGGUAGCCGGCCUGAGAGGGUGACCGGCCACGACUGGGACUGAGACACGGCCCAGACUCCUACGGGAGCAGCAGUGGGAAUAGUGCACAAUGGGCGAAAGCCUGAUGCAGCGACGCCGCGUGAGGGAUGGACGGCCUUCGGGUUGUAAACCUCGUUACAGGUAGGAAGAAGACGAAAGUGACGUACUGACAGAAGAACGCGCCGACUAACCGUACGUGACCAGCACGCCGAC